AAGACCUUGCACUUUUGGAGCGGCCGAUGUCUGAUUAGCUAGUUGGUGGGGUAAUGGCCUACCAAGGCUUCGAUCAGUAGCUGGUCUGAGAGGACGGCCAGCCACACUGGGACUGAGACACGGCCCAGACUCCUACGGGAGGCAGCAGUGGGGAAUUUUGGACAAUGGGCGCAAGCCUGAUCCAGCCAUGCCGCGUGAGUGAAGAAGGCCUUCGGGUUGUAAAGCUCUUUCAGCCGGGAAGAAAAGGUUGCGACUAAUAAUCGCAAUCCAUGACGGUACCGAAAGAAGAAGCACCGGCUAACUACGUGCCAGCAGCCGCGGUAAUACGUAGGGUGCGAGCGUUAAUCGGAAUUACUGGGCGUAAAGGGUGCGCAGGCGGUUUUGUAAGUCAGAUGUGAAAUCCCCGGGCUUAACCUGGGAACU
rnacentral:rRNA from 1 species